rnacentral:lncRNA from 1 species
CACGUAUAAAGUGCAUAAGAAGUGCUCAUCUUAUUUGAAUUUGAAUUAUUGAUGCAAACCAGGAGAGAUGUGAUAGAGGAAUAAUUCAGAGACUUUGAAGGACAGAGCCUGGAAAACAUGCAAAGGUUUCCAUCCACAGUGGGGGAUGGUGGAGGAGGUUUGGAAUCUUGAGAGGAGGAGAUUCCAAGGGGAGACAGUUGAUCUCUCCAUCUUGAGCAAGCAAAGGUGACAGUCUGAUCAGAAAUUUCUCUCCCAAUCUAUCCAAACGCCUCAUUGAAUUUAACCACCAUUUCCCCCCAAAGAUAAUAAGAAUUGUGACAGGAUCUGAGAAGAAUAAGAACAGCAUAAGAAGACCUCACACAGCUCCUGUGACACCCUGAGUCUGGACAUUGGCUCUGCUGUGAUAGACCAGGGGUCACAAACUUGAACCUCUCAGAGGCCAGACUGGCAAGUGACAAUCCUACGAGGUACAGGCUAUUAUUGACAUCAUUUUAUUGACGAAGAAACUGAGUAUCUAAGUGUUUAAAUGGCUUGCCCAGGUUCUUAGAGCUAACCUUUGAUGAGAUGAAGAAUUCCCUUAAAUAAGCAAACUCAGAAAAAUUAUCAUAACAAGGAAAUAUAGUGUUCAAGGAGAUAUGGUGAAGUGUAUAAAACUCUGGGCUUGGAACCCAGAAGAGCUGAAUUCAAAUCUGUUUUUAGAUCCUUAAUAACUGUGUUUCCUGAACAUCUUGUAAACAGUUUGUCUCAGUUUCCUGAAUUGAAAAAUAGAAAAGAUAAGAGCACCUACCACCCAGGCUGUUUUAAGGAUCAAAUAAUAUCAUUGUGGUCACAUAUUUUCCCAGUACCUGGCAUAAAAAAGACAUCUAAAAAGUAUUUCCUGACUCUCUUACUUUUUUCAAAGUACUAGAAUAUAUUCUAGCUACUUCUCUGGGGUUUGAAGAUUAAAUAAAAUUAUAAAUUAGAGCCCUUGCCCUGAAGGA